rnacentral:lncRNA from 1 species
UUGCCCGGGGCCCAAUAAAACCAAACCCAAAUUAAACCUAGCCCAUUACCGAGUUACAAGCCCAAACCCAAUUUUGGCCCAACCUAAUCCCAUUACACUAGCCCAACCCGAACACACACAAAAAAAAAACUUUAGCCACCUAGUGCCACCCCUAUUGUCUGCCACCAACACACCUGCUCCACUUACACCUGCAAAAGCCAAAAGAAGAAAAAAAACAAAAAGGGGCAGAAAAGAAGCAAGAAAACAAGGAAAUAGACAAUAGCAAAUCCAUUGUAUUUCGGUUAUAAAGCCUGAAAUCCCGGAUUUUUUGGAAAAAAAACACGAAUAUGGAAAUAAAAGAGAGG